AAAUAGGACUAUUUAUUUUUAAUGGGUAGAAGUAUCAAAAAAUGACUGCCUCAGAAAAGGAGUGUGUUUCCUGUCCCUGGCGGCACACAAGCAGAGGCUGUCCAGCCACCUGGAGAGGAUAUUGCAAAAAGAAAGGAGAAGUUAGACUUGGUGGCCUUCCAAUUCUGAGAGUCUUAAGUUUCUCAUAAGACCAGGAAGUGUCUAUUUCUGCCAGCUCUCCACCCCCACACUCCUCGUUAUUUUUCCCGGAAAUCCCACGAGGCUUGAGAGUUUUAUUUGCAGAUCCAGCCCUCAUACUCCAGCCUAUUUGACUUAAGAACCCGAUUUCUUUGAGAUUCACGAGGCUGGAUUUUAGUACUGUUUCUGUCUCCUAUUCUCUUUAUGAUCUUAGGAAAGAAAACUGUAGUUUGUGCCUGCCCGGCAUCACUUCCGCUUCUCUGCUAACAGUCCCUCCAUUUCCUUUGGUGACCAUUCCUCCUCUACCCUCAGUCCAUGAGGUUGUCUCAUCUCUAGGUCAGUCCAUGACCCAAGUGUAACCAUGGUGUGUUCCAGCUCCCUGGUUGCAGUAAUUGGCUCAGGAAUGGGCAUCUCAUUCUGGUUGGCACAAUCAGAUUCCACCCUAAGAUUUCUACCAGAAUUGUUGAAAAAGAGAUUAUCUUCCCUUGGAGAUUGCUAAGCUGGUACCAUGUAAACCUAGAUUUUCUGAGGUUUACCCCAGGGCAGAUCCUGCCUGAAAAUGAACUCAGCACAGGGGAGAGCAAAGCUAGGAGGCAGCUCGAACAAAUCCUGAUGACAUCAUUCAAAUGCCUGGAUCCAGUGGUACCUGACAUUAGACCUACUUCUAGAGUUUUUUAAUUAUGCUAGCCAAUACACUCAGGCUGUGUUUGGUUUUAAAAUUUUGGGUUACUGCAUUUGUGUUUUGUUUGUUUCUUAGAUAACAAGUUUGUUUCAAAUCCAAUCCAAUUUGAAUUGGAUUUCUAUUACCUAAACAAAUCAGACUAGGAACCAUGAGGUUGUGGGUUCAAUCCCUGGCCUUACUCAGUGGGUUGAGGAUCUGGUGUUGCCAUGACCUGUGGUGUAGGUCACAGCCAUGGCCCAGAUCUGAUGUGGCUGUGGUUGUGGCUGUGUCAGAGGCUGGCUGGUAUAGCUCCUAUUCUACCUUUAGCCUGGGAACCUCCAUAUGCCACAAGUGCGGCCUU
rnacentral:lncRNA from 1 species